UUCGCAAUGCCCGAAAGGGUGACGAAGCGACGCCGCGUGCGGGAAGAAGGCCUUCGGGUUGUAAACCGCUGUCGGGAGUUAAGAAGUGCAAGGGUGUUAAUAGCAUCUUUGCUUGACUAAGGCUCCGGAGGAAGCCACGGCUAACUCUGUGCCAGCAGCCGCGGUAAUACAGAGGCGGCAAGCGUUGUUCGGAAUUAUUGGGCGUAAAGAGCACGUAGGCGGCCUUGUAAGUCAGUUGUGAAAGCCUUCUGCUUAACGGAAGAACAGCAUCUGAUACUGCAAGGCUAGAGUGCGGAAGGGGAGAGUGGAACUUCUGGUGGAGCGGUGAAAUGCGUAGAUAUCAGAAGGAACACCGGCGGCGAAGGCGACUCUCUGGUCCGUAACUGACGCUGAGUGUGCGAAAGCUAGGGGAGCAAACGGGAUUAGAUACCCCGGUAGUCCUAGCCGUAAACGAUGGGCACUAAGUAGAGGGGUUUU
rnacentral:rRNA from 1 species